UUAUCUAUGUCUUUCCCGUGUCUUCCCUCGCCUCCCAUGCCCCUCGCCGCACACUGCACACAGCGCCCCCAGCCUGAUAGCCUCCAUCCGCGAGGGCCUCCACGCAAGCCCCCCGCUGCUGCCUCCCUCCUCCGCCAUAGCCUUCGUCGCCACACGCACCGCCCCCAGCCUCCUCCGCCGUAGCCGCUGCCGCCAUCUACCUCCUCCGCGGUGACCGCCGCCGCCUCCCUCCUCCGCCAGGGCCGCCGACGCCUCCCUCCUCCGUGUGAGCCGCCGCCGCUCCCCUCGCACCGCCGCAGCCCCUCUCCCCAUCGUCCUCGAGCGUCGAGGUUUCCUCCACCUCCUCGCCGCGCGCGACGACGAUAGCAAACAAGAUGGUCUCGGAGAUGCAGCUCCCUCUCCGCCUCCUCUCGCCUCGCGCCGCCUCACCACGGUCAAGGACGUGGUGUCGUUGCCGGAGGUGGAACUCAUGUGCCUCCUCGACCCGGCAUCACUGUCGCCAGCGUCUGCCCUCCCUGCCAGACGAUAGCCCGUUGCUUUUUCGUGGCCUCUUUCACCUGUCCAGUUUGUGGGUUUUUGAACACUAUGCUGGUUGUGAUGGCUGAUGAUGUUGCGGUCACCAUUGGCGAGCAGAAGAAGAUCUAGAUGUUGGAUGGGAUGGGGGGUUUGGUUACUCUGGAUAAGGCAUUUACUAGGAUGGAGAGAACAAAUUUCUUGGUUAAUGGAACGCGUUCCUCAUUGGUCAAACCGUCGACAGAACAAGCUUCUUUCCGUUCCAAGGGCAACAUUUUUCUUUGUGUAUACGAACCAGUAGAUGCAAUUUUGUUCUCGUUAUUUUCUUGGACUUACAGAAUUAUUUUGAAGCCAACAACAACGUUCAUAUUGUCUAGGUUUUUUGGGGAUGUAAAUCUGAUGGAUACUGUAAAUAUUGUACGAGUAUCAAUUUUUCACUUUUUAUUACAACAAUGUAUUCUGACAGUGCACAUCAAUAACAAAUCGUACCGGGAGCAAAA